rnacentral:rRNA from 1 species
UACGUAGGUGGCAAGCGUUGUCCGGAUUUACUGGGCGUAAAGAGCGCGCAGGCGGUCGUGCAAGUCGCGUGUGAAAGCCCCCGGCUCAACUGGGGAGGGUCACGCGAUACUGAGUCGACUCGAAGGCAGGAGAGGGAAGCGGGAAUUCCCGGUGUAGUGGUGAAAUGCGUAGAGUAUCGGGGAGGAACACCAGUGGCGAAGGCGGCUUCCUGGCCUGUUCUUGACGCUGAGGCGCGAAAGCUAGGGUACGCAAACGGGG